rnacentral:rRNA from 1 species
UACGUAGGGGGCUAGCGUUGUCCGGAAUCAUUGGGCGUAAAGCGCAUGUAGGCGGUCCGGUAAGUCCGCUGUGAAAGUCGGGGGCUCAACCCUCGAAUGCCGGUGGAUACUGUCGGGCUAGAGUGCGGAAGAGGCGAGUGGAAUUCCUGGUGUAGCGGUGAAAUGCGCAGAUAUCAGGAGGAACACCAAUUGCGAAGGCAGCUCGCUGGGACGUAACUGACGCUGAGACGCGAAAGCGUGGGGAGCAAACAGG